rnacentral:lncRNA from 1 species
CUUCAAGCAAUGAAUUCAACCGAAAAAAAAUGCAAUUCAGGUCCUAACAACUCUGGAAAAUACACAAUUGAUUUCCCAAUUCGCGACCCACACACGAAUUCAAAUAAUCCCACUAGGCCUGAAUCCAGCAUUUGAAGUUUGAUAACGCACAAACAUCUCAUCAAUUUUUCACUCAAAACCAAAUUCGAAUAUUGCAGAGAUUUGAGGC